rnacentral:lncRNA from 1 species
GACAUUUGGAGAGAAAGUGAAAGUGUCGGUUGUUGUGAGGCAGGGGACAGAAGCUGGGACAAUUCCCCCCCAGACGCUUCCCCAAACCUGGCAGCUGGAAACACCAGUCCCAGGAAGAAAGAGCACUUGGGGAUGGAGGGACACGGCCCCUUCGUUGGGACCCUGCGUCCAGCUGAGACAGACCAUUCCUCACGCACACCCAGCAGGCGGCUCCAGGAACUGGAAUUACAGGUCCCGAGCUAAGGAAUUGCACCCGAGCGUGAGCUGGGCUGCGAGGUCCAGGAACCGGG